rnacentral:tRNA from 1 species
GGUCCCUUAGACUAUCGGUUAUGUCGUCAGACUUUCAAUCUGGAGAGACGGGUUCGACUCCCGUAGGGACUA